ACAAGCUGAGAAACGGCUAGUAGGACUAAGGUCUGCAGCAGGCGCGAAACUUACACAAUGCUAGAUUACAAUUAGCGAUGUAGUGAAGAAAAAUAACGAUGUACUUCCAUUUAAACAUGGUAGUACAAUUGGAAUGAGACGACUAUAAAUCAGUUAGUCGAGUAACAAAUGGAGGGCAAGUCUGGUGCCAGCAGCCGCGGUAAUUCCAGCUCCAUUAGCAUACAUUAAAGUUGUUGCGGUUAAAAAGCUCGUAGUUGAAUUUUAGGCGGGCUCUAUUGGGCUGCAGCCGUCAAGGUUACUUCGGUAACUGGCUGUCACUGCCCUAUAGGAACCCGCUGUUUCGUCACUUAAUCGAGUGCGAAGCGGGCUGGCACUUGGUCAACUUCGGUUGCACUAAGCUUCAGCAUGUUUACCUUGAGAAAAUUAGAGUGCUCACAGCAGGCAGUUGGGGUGUAAAAGCUCCUUUAUGCUUGAAUAAUGUUGCAUGGAAUAAUAGAAUACGGCCUCGGUUCUAUUCUGUUGGUCUUAUAGAACAACAAACAAGUUGAUUAAAGCGAUCAAACGUCUAUUCUAAGCGUGGCUCUAAGGGCCGCUAUGUUUGAAUUGGCCGAAUUGUGUUACCUAGGGAUAAAACUUUAGUGUCGCGUUCACCUUUUGAAACUAGCAUCACCCAUUUAGUCAUCAAAGCGCUUUUAAUAUGGCAAGCUUUUUAAUCAACUGAGGCAAUGGUUAAAAGAAAUAGUCGCGGCGGCAUCAGUACUGCAUCGUGAGAG
rnacentral:rRNA from 1 species